GCGUCCCUCCGCUCCUCGCCUGCCGCCGGGCGGAGCGGCCAGCCCCGCUGCCCUCUGAAGCACCUCGGGCCCCGCACUGGGGCGCGGCCGGGAGCUGCUCCUGUCCCGACUCGGUCCCUCUCGGUUCGCUUUGCCGCUCUGCCCGUCAGCCCCGAUCGCUGGCCAUGCGCUCCCCUCGGAGGUCCGUGGAUGAGUGUGUGGGGAGGGGGCGUGUGUAGAGCAGCCCUUGCCGUUCCUGUAAAGAGAUGUCUGUCAGGAAAAGCGGGGAAGAGGGUACCUGGCAGCUUGGGCAGCUUUGAAACUCACAGAUGGUCUCACCUCAGAAGGACGAAAGCUUCCUCAUUCCAAACACCACUGUCCUUGGGGAGUGACAGCUGAAGCCAAGAUGCCGACCUCAAAAGGAUGAAUCUAACCUAAUUUGAAAAGUGAUGUGAGAGAAGGCAGUAGCACGGCAAUUGCUGCCUGUUGCAGUGAUGUCUGCACCCAGCUCGGGAAGCAUCCCUGAUGGAGCUAAGGACACAAGCAGUAUACCCUCUUUCAAAAUAUGGAGAAGGACAAAGAGUUUCCAAGAGCACACAUGCUCAUGUGUGAGCCCCUAAGCCACACUUCACAUAGGCUCCUGUUGAUCUUCAGCCCACUGAAAUCUGUUGGAUAGCAAGGUAAAUUGCAGUAACACAACCUUGGCUUUAAAUCCACACAGCAUUUGCUAUGGUUUUACUGCAUCACUUCACUGGCAUAAAGAUACAGUGCAGGUAGGGUCAAUAGGGCAUCUUGUUUUCUUGUAAUUCACUUCAGGCCUUCCAGGGAAUUGCUAAGUAACUCCUAAUCAUUAAAAAAAAUAGAUUCUUGGUUUGUUUUCUGGCAUGGGCACAUGCAGAAUGUGUGGCAUCAUUACCCAUCCAUGGCAACAUGCUAUCAUGAACCAUUAGGGUUUCAGCAGUAGAACCAGCUAAAAGCAAAAUGUUCCUUGAGAGACAGUUUAUUUAAACACAGUAAUCAUAGGCACUAUAAACCACAUUUUGUUCUGUAAAAGCACUAAAAGGUGUGUGCUGCUGGGACUGUAACACUUUGUCUUCAGGAAUACACUGCUAAGCAGCUACAGCAGCAUUCUGAGCUUUUGCCAUCUUUUUCUUACAUCUCCAAGUCCCAUUUGUAAUUCAUGAAGUGGCUGUGUGGUUCUACAAACUUAGCAGCGGUUACUUUGUUCUAAUUGUGAUAGUCUGGUGAGAGAAGCCAUAUGAGGUUUGUGAAGCAAGGUAAAAUGUUUUGUUGGACUAACCAAUGCAGUAAGAAAAAAUGAACAAGAUUUGGGAGUGUGAGUCUUAACUGGAACUUCAAGCUUGCCUGUUUUUUCCAACCGUAUUUGAAAAGUUACUUGAAAGUUUUCCAUAGCCCCACAAACACCACGUAUUGAACAGCUCUUUUAUCAGCUGUCAUAGAUCUAAACCAUCACACCACUGUAAUGAUCAGCCAUGGUCAUCUCAAAGUUAUAAUCAAGGGAAAGCAAAGGGUGUACAACUGAAGGAACAUUUAGCCCAGCUGGAU